rnacentral:rRNA from 1 species
AUGGGCGGAAUGUCUUUCGAUGUGCCUCCUCGCACACAUUCCCAUGAAGAUUCCAUUGAAGAUCUUGCCAACACCGUCGGAGCUUCACGUGAUGCGGUGCGCGAUGAGGAGAGGGAGGAAGAUUCAUCUUCGGAGGCGGAAGAAUCGUCUUCCGAAGAUGAGGACGAGGACGAAGACGAGGACGAGGAAUGA